UGCUGAGCCACCCAGGGAUCCCCUGAGCCACCCAGGGAUCCCCGGUGUUUUGUUUUAUUUCUCCUUUGAGAGGGAUCUGUACCUUGUUUAAGAUUGAGAAACACUGAUUUGAAAUCUCCUUCCUCAAACAAUUGGACAUUGAUAUAAGUAGAUUCCUGCUCUAAGGGCAGGAAAACUCUGGCUGCUAGUGUCCUACAUGGUCAUGUGAGAGCGUGAGAGCCUUGGACAUUUGAUGUAGGAGCUGACAUGAACUGUCCGAUUCAGACAAAGGACUUCACACAUUAAACUUCAUUUAAUUUUCACAACUGCCAUUGUCCUGAUUUUGCAGACUGGAAACGAAUAGGCUUGGAGAGGAUAAGGAAGUUAAGCAUGGACAGAUUUAGUGGUGCUCUGGACCAGCCAAUGGGGGAUUCUAGGAGCUCAAGCAAUUGCUGAUACCAAACUGAGCAUCUUUUUGAGGGGACCCUGUUGAGCAGGGGUUGUGCGAACCAGAGGUCCAGUGCCUGCCUCGUCCUCUCAGUGUCCUGGAGCCCUGGCUCAUCUCCAGUGACUUGCGAGUCAACUGCAACACUGUCUCUCAGGAUGUCGAUUUUCUAGGCUGCCGGGAAGAAGCUCAGCUGAAAGUCCACACCUGUUUGUAGCUCUGAUUCAGAGGAAAGCCCAGUUCUAAAUCCGAGGGAAAGACAACUUCUCUGCAUGUUGAAGAGGAUUGUUGCUUUUUGGCACCCAGAGCAUUUUUACCUGAGGGUUCUGACAAUUUAAAUAAUUGGUACGCUAUGACUUUUAUGGCUGACAGAAGUGUGGUUUUGCUGAUGAGCUGUAAAAACAUGUAAGAAAUAGGCUUCAGGCUAAAGCUAUCUGGAAAGAGAGCGAGUGAGAGAGAGAGAGAGAGGAGGAAGGAAGACAGGCAGACAAAAUAAGUAAGGAAGCUAGCUCUCUCAUUUUAUUCCACGGACUUGUUUAAAACAUUUUAAUCAGAUUUCUUCCUUCGGGACAGCAACUUAGCAAAUAUGGCCACAUUUCCAGAUGUUUGGUCCUUUUGGAGUUGUAUAAAACUCGGUUAAUGUGCACAGAAGAUUAUUCCAGCAUCAACUAAAACAAUGUCUCAGAGAAGUGUUUCUGUGAAAAAGAAUUGCUGAAAAAUAUCCCCUAUUAUCAACACUCAGCCUAUAGUUUUGACCAAAGCACUGAUUUGUGUAGUCCUCAAGAGGAAAUAUUAGUGGCAAUUGUAGCCUCUGCCUUCAUAGAGUAAACCAUUGGAACAAUACUUUUUGGCCAACAUACAAAUGGAUCAUUGACUAAAAAUGAUGAAAAGUGAAGACUUCCUAAGCUUUUCUUUCCCUCUUAAUCAUUUUGUGUAUUGGAGCUGAAAUAUCUUUCUGGGAGAUUUAUUUUUUUAGUUUUUUAAAAAUAUUUUAUUUAUCAAUGAGAGACACACAGAAAGAGGCAGAGACAAAGGCAGAGGGAGAAGCAGGCUCCCUGCAGGAACCGGAUGUGGGACUCGAUCCCAAGACCCUAGGAUCAUGACCUCAGCUGAAGGCAGAUGCUCAACCACUGAGCCACCCAGAUGCCCCCUUUCUGGGAGAUUUAAAACUGAAAAUUCAUGAGUUACAAAUUUAGCAGCUCUAACUUCUCUGCUAAGACAAUAUUUGGAUGAAACUCUUAUUUCUUGGGCAGAUCGCAUACUUGUUCCAUACUUGAGGAAAAUGAGUCAAGAUAAUGUCUUACAUUGAGGACGCUGGCAGUCACCGACGGGAGAACUUUUGGAGCUAAGCAGAAUUGCUUGAGUUGUCUUCAGCUUUAAAAAUGAUUUUGCUUUAACAUAUGCUAGCUGAAGCAAAAAAAUAAUACAGUAGAAGCUAUGCGUCUAUCAGAGUGACUGACAGAGUGAGAUUCUCUAGAAAAAUAGAUUAUUUUCCCUCAAAGAGAGUAAAGUUUUGGUUUUCAAAGUCAAUCAGAAAACUAAUAAUUUGGACAGGAGAGGAAUCAACUUCUCUUUUUGAGACAGUAUAUUUCUAAUGAUUUUUAUGG